rnacentral:rRNA from 1 species
GCAAGUCGAGCGCGCCCUUCGGGGUGAGCGGCGGACGGGUGCGUAACGCGUGGGAACCUGCCUUUAGGUUCGGAAUAACAGUUAGAAAUGACUGCUAAUACCGGAUAAUGUCUUCGGACCAAAGAUUUAUCGCCUUUAGAUGGGCCCGCGUUAGAUUAGCUUGUUGGUGGGGUAAUGGCCUACCAAGGCGACGAUCUAUAGCUGGUCUGAGAGGAUGAUC